UAUAGUCCAAUUACUUGUAUUUUCACAUAGCUGCACACAUAUAAUGUGUGUGCAUGCAUGUGAUGUUGCUGAAGAAGGUAAAUACCAACUUCUUCAGUGGCCCGUGGUCAAAAUAAAUGCAGAAAAAAUUAAGCCUUUGUUUGAUCUACAUUAUUUUCAAACUACAUUUUUCUCUCUUUUCUUUUCAACCACACAUUCUUUAAUGAAAUAAUAUUACAAGCAAAUUUAAAACUUUUUCGUAUUUUUUAACUACAUACUCUCCACCAAUCUACUGUUUCAAAAUGCAUUUUUAACCAAAAAUGGGGCUCAAACAUGCUUAAAACAUGAAAGUGAAAAAAAAAAAAAAAAAAAAAAACCAACAAUAUUCCCCUUCACCAUUGGUUCAGUCUUCAGGUUUAUUCUUGAUCCUUCUCUCUAAUUCUCCACCCACACGUCUUCUUUUGAUUGGUUUUUGUGCCUAUUUCUAGCUACUUCUGUAAUUUGCGUCCACAUUGUAAUCACCAAUUUCACAACACCACUACCUUUCAUUUCUUGGCAUUAAUAGCACCCUGCACACGUAUAUGAUGAUCUAUGUCAGGUUUAUCAGUAUCUUGAGUGCUUCCAUGAAUAAGAAUUUGACAAGAAAUUUCUG
rnacentral:lncRNA from 1 species